GCCUUGCUGACGCGGAGGGACAUUACCGAGUUUACAACUCCCAAACCCAAUGUGAACCAUACCAAACUGUUGCCUCGGCGGGGUCACGCCCCGGGUGCGUCGCAGCCCCGGAACCAGGCGCCCGCCGGAGGGACCAACCAAACUCUUUUCUGUAGUCCCCUCGCGGACGUUAUUUCUUACAGCUCUGAGCAAAAAUUCAAAAUGAAUCAAAACUUUCAACAACGGAUCUCUUGGUUCUGGCAUCGAUGAAGAACGCAGCGAAAUGCGAUAAGUAAUGUGAAUUGCAGAAUUCAGUGAAUCAUCGAAUCUUUGAACGCACAUUGCGCCCGCCAGUAUUCUGGCGGGCAUGCCUGUCCGAGCGUCAUUUCAACCCUCGAACCCCUCCGGGGGGUCGGCGUUGGGGACCUCGGGAGCCCCUAAGACGGGAUCCCGGCCCCGAAAUACAGUGGCGGUCUCGCCGCAGCCUCUCCUGCGCAGUAGUUUGCACAACUCGCACCGGGAGCGCGGCGCGUCCACGUCCGUAAAACACCCAACUUCUGAAAUGUUGACCUCGGAUCAGGUAGGAAUACCCGCUGAACUUAAGCAUAUCAAAGGGGGAAAGGAAU
rnacentral:rRNA from 1 species